UGACAGGCUGGGAAGUGUAACCACUGU
rnacentral:piRNA from 1 species